GACGAACGCUGGCGGCGUGCUUAACACAUGCAAGUCGAACGGGACUAGAAAAGCUUGCUUUGCUAGUCUAGUGGCAAACGGGUGAGUAACACGUAGACAACCUGCCGAUAGGAUGGGGACAACAUUCCGAAAGGAAUGCUAAUACCGAAUGAAGUGUAGGGAAGGCAUCUUCCCUACAUGAAAGAUGGCCUCUAUAUAUAAGCUAUCACCUAUUGAUGGGUCUGCGUCUGAUUAGCUAGUAGGUAAGGUAACGGCUUACCUAGGCGACGAUCAGUAGCCGGUCUGAGAGGAUGAACGGCCACAUUGGGACUGAGACACGGCCCAGACUCCUACGGGAGGCAGCAGUGGGGAAUCUUCCGCAAUGGGCGCAAGCCUGACGGAGCAACGCCGCGUGAGUGAAGAAGGUCUUCGGAUCGUAAAGCUCUGUUGAAGGGGACGAACGUACACAGUGCGAAUAGUUCUGUGUAAUGACGGUACCUU
rnacentral:rRNA from 1 species